GAAAAUCAGUUUAUAUAAUUUCAUUAUUGAUAACUUCCAAAAUACAAUAUGGAAUAUGAUGAAGAUUGGCAGGACUAGCAUAAGCAACAACUGCCUUAGCUAAGCUAUGAGCAGCUGUAUUAGCUUGUCUCCUAAUAAAUUUGACCAAAAAAGUUUGGAUUAAUAGCAAGGAUGGUUUUGCAACCACUAGAGGAUAGAACCCACUUAUGAGAUAUCACAUGCAUUGCUCGAGUGUUUGUUUACGCGUUUGAGAGACACAGCGUCCGUUUAGUCUUCUUGAAUGCCGGACCAACAUGUUUGACAAUCUAUUUUCACGUUCAGUUGGAUGCGCGUAGGAGAGAAACGCCAGUUGAUUGAAAGCAAUAGGAUUCUGGUUUGAACCCGGUUGCAGUUUGCUGGAAAGCUUGGUUUAGAGCAUAAAUGGAGGAUUGGGAUGGAGAUUUUGUAGAACACCAAAAUGAAGAAUCUACCUUACUUUCUAUUUUACAAGAUGAUCUACAAGAGGUUGAAGAUAUCAGUGCAUUAAUUAGUGAGUAUGCCACAAAAUAUUUAUGUAAAGAGCCUUGUGGAAUUAUCAAGCAUACAUGUCUUUCAUGAGUUCUAGACAUCUAGCAUGGGCAUCCCGUUCACUGUUAUGAGAUGCUUCGAUUGGAAAAACAUGUAUUUAAUCAACUUUGCAUUGAAUUGGUUGAACAUGGUUUAAAAGGAAGUAAGCGAAUGGGUGUUCAAGAAAUGGUUACAAUGUUUGUACA